rnacentral:rRNA from 1 species
CCUACGGGAGGCAGCAGUGGGGGAUAUUGCACAAUGGGGGGAACCCUGAUGCAGCGACGCCGCGUGGGUGAAGAAGCGCCUCGGCGCGUAAAGCCCUGUCAACAGGGAAGAAAAUGACGGUACCUGAAGAAGAAGCCCCGGCUAACUACGUGCCAGCAGCCGCGGUAAUACGUAGGGGGCAAGCGUGAUCCGGAUUUACUGGGUGGAAAGGGGGCGCAGACGGCGAUGCAAGCCAGGAGUGAAAGCCCGGGGCCCAACCCCGGGACUGCUCUUGGCACUGCGUGGCUGGAGUGCAGGAGGGGCAGGCGGAAUGCCUGGUGUAGCGGUGAAAUGCGUAGAUAUCAGGAGGAACACCGGUGGCGAAGGCGGCCUGCUGGACUGCAACUGACGUUGAGGCCCGAAAGCGUGGGGAGCAAACAGGAUUAGAUACCCGUGUAGUC